rnacentral:rRNA from 1 species
UACGGGGGGUGCGAGCGUUGUCCGGCAUCACUGGGCGUAAAGGGCGCGUAGGUGGUGUCGUAAGUCUGCGGUGAAAGCCUGGGGCUCAACCCCAGGUCUGCCGUGGAGACUGCGAGACUUGAGUACUGUAGGGGCUGGUAGAAUGCCGGGUGUAGCGGUGGAAUGCGUAGAGAUCCGGCGGAAGACCGGUGGCGAAGGCGACCAGCUGGGCAGUAACUGACACUGAGGCGCGACAGCGUGGGGAGCAAACAGG